GCCCGCUCAGAAACUUAAGGAAUUGACGGGGCCCGCACAAGCGGUGGAGUAUGUGGUUUAAUUCGAUGCAACGCGAAGAACCUUACCUGGUCUUGACAUCCCGGAGACCCUUAGGAAACUAGGGGUGCUUCCAUCUGGAGAAUCUGGAGACAGGUGCUGCAUGGCUGUCGUCAGCUCGUGUCGUGAGAUGUUGGGUUAAGUCCCGCAACGAGCGCAACCCUUGCCUUUAGUUGCCAGCAGUUCGGCUGGGCACUCUAAAGGGACUGCCGGUGUUAAACCGGAGGAAGGUGGGGAUGACGUCAAGUCCUCAUGGCCUUUAUGACCAGGGCUACACACGUACUACAAUGGCCGAUACAAAGGGCAGCGACACUGCGAGGUGAAGCCAAUCCCGUAAAAUCGGUCUCAGUCCGGAUUGGAGUCUGCAACUCGACUCCAUGAAGUUGGAAUCGCUAGUAAUCGUGGAUCAGCAUGCCACGGUGAAUACGUUCCCGGGCCUU
rnacentral:rRNA from 1 species